UGGUUGACUAACUCCUGUGACUAGCAAG
rnacentral:piRNA from 1 species